UGUUCGACCCCGUGAGACGUCGCAAGCGAUGGUGCCCGAAGAAAAUGUCGCAGUUUCACCCGAAAGGCGAAGCAUCAAUUGCGAUAGCAAUUAGUAGAGAGCUAUACGGAGUAAGGAUAGUAGUUUUAUCAGCUGUAUAAACUUGGACAUGCAGCAGCACCAGCAACGCGCAGAACUGUUGUCGACGCAAGCGGCGUUAUACCCGCGUUCGCACCGAACGCGCGCGGUGUUGUUUCGGCUCUCGGUGGCGUUUGGGCCAAGAAAUCACCAAGCCCAUCGAUGAGUACAUCCAGUAGAAGGAAGUAGGAAAACGGUUUAAUUUACACUAUGUACACUGGCUCCGAGUACGGAAGCCCACUCCAUCAGGAGCACAUUCAACGUCUCACUUCGUAUCAGGUCACGUCGACCCCCUCUCUGCACCACCAGUCUCCGCUUUUAAUCCCUCGGUCUUCCCUAGGAGACUCGACUGGGGAAUCUGCUGAUCUUGGUGCGGCCAAUCAGAGGGGUUGUCGUGUUCACCCCACUCCUCAUCUACCGUUGUAUCCUCGCGCUCGCCUUUUGCUGCCACUGCGUGAUCUUCUGAGAAACCGAGAUCGUUGUCGCUCCCACGGUAGCAAUUCCUGGAAGUUGGCCUCUCGCCUCAAUCCGGUUAACUCGUCAUGGCCGAUGUCGGGCGCGGUCGCCGUUUGGGCGACGCUAAUGAAAGGCGCUGCCUCGUGGCAACAUCCAAAGGUGUGCAUUCCCGAUUCGGGACGCUUGUCAGCUUUCACCGUCGGUGUCGACCACUGUCGCCGUCUGGGCGACGCUGAUGAAAGGCACUGCCUCGUGGCAACAUCCAAAGGUGUGCAUUCCCGAUUCGGGACGCUUGUCAGCUUUCACCGUCGGUGUCGACCACUGUCGCCGUCUGGGCGACGCUGAUGAAAGGCGCUGCCUCGUGGCAACAUCCAAAGGUGUGCAUUCCCGAUUCGGGACGCUUGUCAGCUUUCACCGUCGGUGUCGACCACUGUCGCCGUUUGGGCGACGCUGAUGAAAGGCGCUGCCUCGUGGCAACAUCCAAAGGUGUGCAUUCCCGAUUCGGGACGCUUGUCAGCUUUCACCGUCGGUGUCGACCACUGUCGCCGUUUGGGCGACGCUGAUGAAAGGCGCUGCCUCGUGGCAACAUCCAAAGGUGUGCAUUCCCAAUUCGGGACGCUUGUCAGCUUUCACCGUCGGUGUCGACCACUGUCGCCGUCUGGGCGACGCUGAUGAAAGGCGCUGCCUCGUGGCAACAUCCAAAGGUGUGCAUUCCCGAUUCGGGACGCUUGUCAGCUUUCACCGUCGGUGUCGACCACUGUCGCCGUCUGGGCGACGCUGAUGAAAGGCGCUGCCUCGUGGCAACAUCCAAAGGUGUGCAUUCCCGAUUCGGGACGCUUGUCAGCUUUCACCGUCGGUGUCGACCACUGUCGCCGUCUGGGCGACGCUGAUGAAAUGGGC